rnacentral:rRNA from 1 species
UACAGAGGUCUCAAGCGUUUGUUCGGAUUCAUUGGGCGUAAAGGGGUGCGUAGGCGGCGCGGUAAGUCGGGUGUGAAAUCUCGGAGCUUAACUCCGAAACUGCAUUCGAUACUGCCGUGCUUGAGGACUGGAGAGGAGACUGGAAUUUACGGUGUAGCGGUGAAAUGCGUAGAUAUCGUAAGGAAGACCAGUGGCGAAGGCGGGUCUCUGGACAGUUCCUGACGCUGAGGCACGAAGGUCAGGGGGAGCAAACGGGG